AUUAUUUACCAAUAUACUUUAUUAAAAUAUAUUCAUUACACGGGCCGUCCCUAGAGCAAAUAGCAAAGGACUUGGUGGUUGGUACCCGAGGUCCCAAGUUUCAAUCCUAAUUGAUUCACAUUUCUAACUAAGUUUAUUUUUAAAUAAAAUAAACGAAACGAGCAGCAGACUAUCUUAUCUCUCUAAAAAAAAAUAAAAAAUAAAUAAAAAAAAUUCAAUACACAAGAAUAACAGUU
rnacentral:lncRNA from 1 species